GAUGAAGAACGUAGUGAAAUGCGAUAAGUAAUGUGAAUUGCAGAAUUCAGUGAAUCAUCGAAUCUUUGAACGCACAUUGCGCCCGCCAGUAUUCUGGCGGGCAUGCCUGUUCGAGCGUCAUUUCAACCAUCAAGCCCCCGGCUUGUGUUGGGGACCUGCGGCUGCCGCAGGCCCUGAAAAGCAGUGGCGGGCUCGCUGUCACACCGAGCGUAGUAGCAUACAUCUCGCUCUGGGCGUGCUGCGGGUUCCGGCCGUUAAACCACCUUCAUAACCCAAGGUUGACCUCGGAUCAGGUAGGAAGACCCGCUGAACUUAAGCAUAUCAAUAGCGGAGGA
rnacentral:misc_RNA from 1 species